CACGGGUGAGUAACACGUAUCCAACCUGCCGACAACACUGGGAUAGCCUUUCGAAAGAAAGAUUAAUACCGGAUGGCAUAGUUUUCCCGCAUGGGAUAAUUAUUAAAGAAUUUCGGUUGUCGAUGGGGAUGCGUUCCAUUAGGCAGUUGGCGGGGUAACGGCCCACCAAACCAACGAUGGAUAGGGGUUCUGAGAGGAAGGUCCCCCACAUUGGAACUGAGACACGGUCCAAACUCC
rnacentral:rRNA from 1 species